rnacentral:rRNA from 1 species
GAUGAACGCUGGCGGCGUGCCUAAUACAUGCAAGUCGAGCGAACAGACGAGAGUGCUUGCACUCUCUGACGUUAGCGGCGGACGGGUGAGUAACACGUGGGUAACCUACCUAUAAGACUGGGAUAACUUCGGGAAACCGGAGCUAAUACCGGAUAAUAUUUAGCUUCGCAUGAAGCAAUAGUGAAAGACGAUUCUGCUGUCACUUAUAGAUGGACCCGCGGUGUAUUAGCUAGUUGGUGAGGUAACGGCUCACCAAGGCAACGAUACAUAGCCGACCUGAGAGGGUGAUCGGCCACACUGGGACUGAGACACGGCCCAGACUCCUACGGGAGGCAGCAGUAGGGAAUCUUCCGCAAUGGACGAAAGUCUGACGGAGCAAUGCCGCGUGAGUGAAGAAGGUUUUCGGAUCGUAAAACUCUGUUGUAAGGGAAGAACAAGUACGUUAGUAACUGAACGUACCUUGACGGUACCUUACCAGAAAGCCACGGCUAACUACGUG